UUUUGGACUAAGCUCAUGCACUAGGCCCCAACAGACCAAACCAAACAAAACGGAGUUGCUUGUGUGUUAAGAAAACACAUAGGUUCUAGAACAAACCAGAUUUUGUUUUUUUUCCUGCUGCAAAUCUUUGUAACAAACAUUUUUGAUAGCAUAGGUAUCCACCCCAUGAAGUUCACAAUCUUUUAACCAAAUUCAUUUCCUCUUGCCUAGAGACCAUCAAGCUUCACAUCAUCAUGCAACAAAGGUUCCAGCCAGUUCCAGGUGAAGACACCACCCCUGGCCAUCAAGAAGCUACCUUGCCUUCACCAGACAGAGCAGGAAUUUUUGAGUUGGGUGGAAGUAGUGACUAUAUGAAGCAACUACCACUGAAGGACCAGAAAAGAAUAACGACAAUAUUAAAGAAAACAGCCAUCUUGGAGUCCAGUUAUAUUUUAAUAAAAGAUUUGUUCUCUACCAAUGCCCUACACUGCUAACAGGAAACUGCCUUCUGGAUUUGUGGGAAGUUCACCAGCAGGAAGCGCCAGUGGAAAUUGGGAGGGUGGCUAUAGCUGAUUUCCACUGUUCUUCAGUUAGUUUCCUGGCUGCUCACAAAGAUUUUCCUGCAUGCCACUGCUCUCCAGGAAUCUACCAACAUUCACGUAGACUUCUCAAUGAAUGGCACGGAAAGUUUCUUCUUAAGAAUAUGAAGACUGCACACAAAAGCAACUAGAGAAUAGACUACUGACAAUUCAAGGUAUCUGAACAUCAAUUUGUCUUGGAGGUUUUGCACACGUCAAACUCAGCUCUUACUGAACAGGUCAAUGAUACCAGUAUCACUGAGUGUCCAGUGGACUCUCACUGCAUUAUUUUAAUUCUAAAGUUUAUUUUAAACUUUACUGGGGUAUAACUGAAAUGCAAUAAACUACACAUACUUAAGGGCCAUAAUUUGUUGAGUUUUGACAUACUUAUACACUCUGAUAUGGUUUGGUUCUAUGUCCCCACACAAAUCUCAUCUCUCAUCUUGAAUUGUAAUCCCUACCUGUCAAAGGGGAGAAGUGAUUGGAUUAUGGGGGUGGUUUCCCCCAUGCUAUUCUCCUGAUAGUGAGAUCUGAUGGUUUUAUAAGCUUCUGGCAUUUUCUCUGCUUGCACUCACUUUCUCCUGUUGCCUUGUGAAGAAGGUGCCUGCUUCCCCUUUCACCUUCCACCAUGACUGUAAGUUUUCUGAGGCCUCCCCAGUAAUGCAGAACUAUGAGUCAAUUAAACUUCUUUCCUUUAUAAAUUACCCAGCCUCAGGUAGUGUUCUUUAUAGCAGUGUGACAAUGGACUAAUACAAACUCAUAAAACCAUUACUGCAAUCAGCACCAAAGGUUUUCAUACCCUCAUUUGUAAGCACUCCUGACCUGUCUUUUUCCACACCAGUUCCAGGACAAAUGGUGAUUUGUUUUCUGUGGCUAUAAAUUGGUUUACAUUUUGUAGAAUUUUAUAUAAAUGGGAUGACACAGUACAUUUUAAUUUUUGCUCUAGUUUGUAUCACUUAAUAAUAAUAAUUUCAACUUUCAUCCAUGUUGUUAAAUAUAUGAGUAGUUUAUACUUUUCUAUUGAAAAGUAUUAUUCCAUUUUAUGGAUAUACCAAAGUUUGCUUGCCCAUUCACUUGCUGGUGGACAUAUGGGUUGUUUCCAGUUUGGGGUUCUUAAAAGUAAAGCAUCUGUGAACAUGCAAAUACAGUCUUUGUGUGGACAUAUGUUAUUGUUUCUUUUCUGCUUCUAUUCUGUUUUCUAGAAGCAGAAUAGAUUGUAUGGUAGGUUUAUAUUUAUUUUCCUAAGAAACUGCCAAACUCUCUUUCAAACUGAUUGUACCAUUUUACAGUCCUACCAAUUCCAGUUUUAUUUCCUCCAUAUCUUUACCAACACCUGGAAUGGUGUUGUUUUAUUUUAGUCAUUCUAAAGAAGUAGUGUCUCAUUAUGAUUUUAUCUCAC
rnacentral:lncRNA from 10 species